AUUGAACGCUGGCGGCAUGCUUUACACAUGCAAGUCGAACGGUAACAGGCCGCAAGGUGCUGACGAGUGGCGAACGGGCGAGUAAUGCAUCGGAACGUGCCCAGCCGUGGGGGAUAACUACUCGAAAGAGUAGCUAAUACCGCAUACGAUCUAUGGAUGAACGCGGGGGACCGUAAGGCCUCGCGCGAUUGGAGCGGCCGAUGUCGGAUUAGGUAGUUGGUGGGGUAAAGGCUCACCAAGCCAACGAUCUGUAGCUGGUCUGAGAGGACGACCAGCCACACUGGGACUGAGACACGGCCCAGACUCCUACGGGAGGCAGCAGUGGGGAAUUUUGGACAAUGGGCGCAAGCCUGAUCCAGCAAUGCCGCGUGCAGGAAGAAGGCCUUCGGGUUGUAAACUGCUUUUGUACGGAACGAAACGGCUCUGGUUAAUACCCGGGGCUAAUGACGGUACCGGAAGAAUAAGCACCGGCUAACUACGUG
rnacentral:rRNA from 1 species